UACGUAGGGGGCAAGCGUUGUCCGGAUUUAUUGGGCGUAAAGAGCGUGUAGGCGGCUUGGUAGGUCCGCUGUGAAAACUCGAGGCUCAACCUCGAGAUGUCGGCGGAAACCACUUGGCUAGAGUCCGGAAGAGGAGAGUGGAAUUCCAGGUGUAGCGGUGAAAUGCGUAGAUAUCUGGAGGAACACCGGUGGCGAAGGCGGCAUCCUGGACCAAUAUUGACGCUGAGGAGCGAAAGCCAGGGGAGCAAAGCGGG
rnacentral:rRNA from 1 species